AUUGAACGCUGGCGGCAGGCCUAACACAUGCAAGUCGAACGAGUGGCGGACGGGCGAGUAAUGUCUGGGAAACUGCCUGAUGGAGGGGGAUAACUACUGGAAACGGUAGCUAAUACAGCAUACCAUCAGAUGUGCCCAGAUGGGAUUAGCUUGUUGGUGGGGUAACGGCUCACCAAGGCGACGAUCCAUAACUGGUCUGAGAGGAUGACCAGCCACCCUGGAACUGAGACACGGUCCAGACUCCUACGGGAGGCAGCAGUGGGGAGUAUUGCACAAUGGGCGCAAGCCUGACGCAGCCAUGCCGCGUGUAUGAAGAAGGUCUUCGGAUUGUAAAGCACUUUAAGUUGGGAGGCGUUACCAACAGAAUAAGCACCGGCUAACUUCGUGCCAGCCGCCGCGGUAAUAC
rnacentral:rRNA from 1 species